rnacentral:rRNA from 1 species
UACGUAGGGGGCAAGCGUUGUCCGGAAUCAUUGGGCGUAAAGCGCGUGUAGGCGGUCCGGUAAGUCCGCUGUGAAAGUCGGGGGCUCAACCCUCGGAUGCCGGUGGAUACUGUCGGGCUUGAGUACGGAAGAGGCGAGUAGAAUUCCUGGUGUAGCGGUGGAAUGCGCAGAUAUCAGGAGGAAUACCCAUAGCGAAGGCAGCUCGCUGGGACGGUACUGACGCUAAGGCGCGAAAGCGUGGGGAGCGAACAGG